rnacentral:rRNA from 1 species
UACAGAGGUGGCAAGCGUUGUUCGGAAUUACUGGGCGUAAAGGGCGCGUAGGCGGCCUGCUAAGUCGAACGUGAAAAUCCCCUGGGCUCAACCCAGGAACUGCGUCCGAUACUGGUUGGCUUGAAUCCGGGAGAGGGGAUGUGGAAUUCCAGGUGUAGCGGUGAAAUGCGUAGAUAUCUGGAGGAACACCGGUGGCGAAGGCGGCUCACUGGUCCGGUACUGACGCUGAGGUGCGAAAGCGUGGGGAGCAAACAGG